UUUUUUGUUGCUACUGUUUUUGGGGGUGGGGGGCAGAAUCUUACUAUUAUAGCUUAGACUGACCUUGAAUUCAUGAUCCCUUUUCCCCAUUUCCAGAAUGUGUUUUUUUCUUUGUUUGUUUGUAUUUUUUGAGACAGGACCUUGCCCCAAACUCAGACCAAUAGUCCUACCUCAGCCUCCCGAGUGCUGGAAUUAUAAGCAUGUACCUGGCCAGAAUGUGUGGUUUUUUUUUUUUAAAUGAAUUUAUAUUACUCUUAUUAAUACAGCACUUUAUUCAUUAUAUUCCUUUUAUAGGCAGCCAAAUGGCUAAGGAGACCACUGAUGAGAUGAAAUAUAUGUUGGGUCAACUUGUUUGCCUGAAUUCUCCUAACUCCAUCCUGAAAGCUGCGAAAACCUUGUAUGAACGUUAUAAUUGUGGUGAAAGUCAAGCUCCUUCAUCAUCCAAGACUUCUG
rnacentral:lncRNA from 1 species